UGCACAAUGGGCGCAAGCCUGAUGCAGCGACGCCGCGUGAGGGAUGACGGCCUUCGGGUUGUAAACCUCUUUCAGUAGGGAAGAAGCGAAAGUGACGGUACCUGCAGAAGAAGCACCGGCUAACUACGUGCCAGCAGCCGCGGUAAUACGUAGGGUGCGAGCGUUAUCCGGAAUUAUUGGGCGUAAAGAGCUCGUAGGCGGUUUGUCGCGUCUGUCGUGAAAGUCCGGGGCUUAACCCCGGAUCUGCGGUGGGUACGGGCAGACUAGAGUGCAGUAGGGGAGACUGGAAUUCCUGGUGUAGCGGUGGAAUGCGCAGAUAUCAGGAGGAACACCGAUGGCGAAGGCAGGUCUCUGGGCUGUAACUGACGCUGAGGAGCGAAAGCAUGGGGAGCGAACAGGAUUAGAUACCCUGGUAGUCCAUGCCGUAAACGUUGGGCACUAGGUGUGGGGACCAUUCCACGGUUUCCGCGCCGCAGCUAACGCAUUAAGUGCCCCGCCUGGGGAGUACGGCCGCAAGGCUAAAACUCAAAGGAAUUGACGGGGGCCCGCACAAGCGGCGGAGCAUGCGGAUUAAUUCGAUGCAACGCGAAGAACCUUACCAAGGCUUGACAUGUUCUCGAUCGCCGUAGAGAUACGGUUUCCCCUUUGGGGCGGGUUCACAGGUGGUGCAUGGUUGUCGUCAGCUCGUGUCGUGAGAUGUUGGGUUAAGUCCCGCAACGAGCGCAACCCUCGUUCCAUGUUGCCAGCACGUAGUGGUGGGGACUCAUGGGAGACUGCCGGGGUCAACUCGGAGGAAGGUGAGGACGACGUCAAAUCAUCAUGCCCCUUAUGUCUUGGGCUUCACGCAUGCUACAAUGGCCGGUACAAUGGGUUGCGAUACUGUGAGGUGGAGCUAAUCCCAAAAAGCCGGUCUCAGUUCGGAUUGGGGUCUGCAACUCGACCCCAUGAAGUCGGAGUCGCUAGUAAUCGCAGAUCAGCAACGCUGCGGUGAAUACGUUCCCGGGCCUUGU
rnacentral:rRNA from 1 species